rnacentral:rRNA from 1 species
AGAGUUUGAUCCUGGCUCACAGCGAACGCUAGCGGGUGGCUUAACACAUGCAAGUCGAGCGGAGGUUUCGGCCUCAGCGGCGAACGGGUGAGUAACACGUAGGACAUCUACCUCCGGGUGGGGGAUAGCCAAGGGAAACCUUGAUUAAUACCGCAUGCGGCCCACGGGUCAAAGCAGCAAUGCGCCUGGAGAUGAGCCUGCGUCCGAUUAUUUAGUCCUUGUUGGUGGGGUAAUGGCCUACCAAGGGUACGAUCGGUAGCUGGUCUGAGAGGACGAUCAGCCACACUGGAACUGAGACACGGUCCAGACUCCUACGGGAGGCAGCGGUGGGGAAUAUUGCGCAAUGGGCGAAAGCCUGACGCAGCCAACCCGCGUGUGUGAUGAAGGCCUUCGGGUCGUAAAGCACUGUCGUGAGGGAAGAAUAAAUGACGGUACCUCACAAGAAAGCACCGGCUAACCCUGUG